rnacentral:rRNA from 1 species
GAUGAACGCUAGCGGCAGGCUUAACACAUGCAAGUCGAGGGGUAACGUGAGUGCUUGCACUUGACGACGACCGGCGCACGGGUGCGUAACGCGUAUAGAACCUACCUUAUCCAAGGGGAUAGCCCAGAGAAAUUUGGAUUAAUACCCUAUAGUAUUAUUGAUUGGCAUCGAUUAAUAAUUAAAGAUUUAUUGGGAUAAGAUGGCUAUGCGUUCUAUUAGCUAGUUGGUAAGGUAACGGCUUACCAAGGCAACGAUAGAUAGGGGUCCUGAGAGGGAGAUCCCCCACACUGGUACUGAGACACGGACCAGACUCCUACGGGAGGCAGCAGUGAGGAAUAUUGGACAAUGGAGGAGACUCUGAUCCAGCCAUGCCGCGUGUAGGAAGACUGCCCUAUGGGUUGUAAACUACUUUUAUAUAGGAAGAAACGUACCCUCGUGAGGGUAUUUGACGGUACUAUAAGAAUAAGGAUCGGCUAACUCCG